rnacentral:snoRNA from 1 species
GGGUCAAUGAUGAAAACUUUGCCUUGUCUCUAGAAAGGUGUGGUCUUAAAAGUCUUGUACAAUAGAGUUACGCUGAGGGCU